AUGAAGCUGGAUUCGCUAGUAAUCGCGCAUCAGCCACGGCGCGGUGAAUACGUUCCCGGGCCUUGUACACACCGCCCGUCAAGCCAUGGAAGCCGGGGGUGCCUGAAGUGCGCUGCCGCAAGGAGCGUCCUAGGGUAAAACCGGUGACUGGGGCUAAGUCGUAACAAGGUACC
rnacentral:rRNA from 1 species